rnacentral:lncRNA from 1 species
UUUAUAAAAUAUUCCUUUUAAACAUCUUCUCUUGAAUGUCUAAUGGCCAUUUCAAGUUUUAACAUACAUAAAAUUAAGUUUUUGACAUUUCUAACCAAAACAGGACUUGCAAAGUCCAAAAUAUCAUUUUGACAUUUCUUUUCCUAAAAUAGUACUACAAAUAAAAGAUCAAUAUUGCCAGUUUUUUGAAGUGAACUUAUUUGAAUAAUAUAGACUUUUUAAAAAGAUCUUUGGAUUUUGUUUUUCUUUGUUCCUUUAGGAAAGAGUAUUAAAUAAUAAUAUUUAAGAUUAUAGUACUUUGAGUAUAUUUAAAUGAAACUACCCAGAGAUGGAUUUCCAAUCUAAGUUUUCACUACCUUUUGUGCCCCUGAGAGCCAGUA